CCUACGGGAGGCAACAGUAAGGAAUAUUGGUCAAUGGACGCAGGUCUGAACCAGCCAUGCCGCGUGCAGGAUGACGGCCCUCUGGGUUGUAAACUGCUUUUAUAGGGGACGAAAAAAGGGCUUUCUAGCUCGUCUGACGGUACCCUAGGAAUAAGCACCGGCUAACUCCGUGCCAGCAGCCGCGGUAAUACGGAGGGUGCAAGCGUUAUCCGGAUUUACUGGGUUUAAAGGGUGCGUAGGUGGGUCGGUAAGUCAGCGGUGAAAUCUUCGAGCUUAACUCGGAAACUGCCAUUGAUACUAUCGAUCUUGAAUCAUCUGGAGGUAAGCGGAAUAUGUCAUGUAGCGGUGAAAUGCUUAGAUAUGACAUAGAACACCAAUUGCGAAGGCAGCUUACUACGGAUGCAUUGACACUGAGGCACGAAAGCGUGGGGAUCAAACAGGAUUAGAUACCCUGGUAGUCCACGCCCUAAACGAUGGAUACUCGACAUUUGAGAUAUACUUUAAGUGUCUGAGCGAAAGCAUUAAGUAUCCCACCUGGGAAGUACGAUCGCAAGAUUGAAACUCAAAUGAAUUGACGG
rnacentral:rRNA from 1 species